rnacentral:rRNA from 1 species
CCUACGGGAGGCAGCAGUGGGGAAUCUUGCGCAAUGGGGGGGAACCCUGACGCAGCGACGCCGCGUGCGGGACGGAGGCCUUCGGGUCGUAAACCGCUUUCAGCAGGGAAGAGUCAAGACUGUACCUGCAGAAGAAGCCCCGGCUAACUACGUGCCAGCA